GAUGAACGCUGGCGGCGUGCCUAACACAUGCAAGUCGAGCGAUUCUCUUCGGAGAAGAGCGGCGGACGGGUGAGUAACGCGUGGGUAACCUGCCCUGUACACACGGAUAACAUACCGAAAGGUAUGCUAAUACGGGAUAAUGUGCUUUCAUCGCAUGGUAGAAGUAUCAAAGCUCCGGCGGUACAGGAUGGACCCGCGUCUGAUUAGCUAGUUGGUAAGGUAACGGCUUACCAAGGCGACGAUCAGUAGCCGACGUGAGAGGGUGAUCGGCCACAAUGGAACUGAGACACGGUCCAAACUCCUACGGGAGGCAGCAGUGGGGAAUAUUGCACAAUGGGCGAAAGCUUGAUGCAGCAACGCCGCGUGAGCGAUGAAGGCCUUCGGGUCGUAAAGCUCUGUCCUCAAGGAAGAUAAUGACGGUACUUGAGGAGGAAGCUCCGGCUAACUACGUGCCAGCCGCCGCCGUAACAC
rnacentral:rRNA from 1 species